GACGAGGGGUCCAAGCGUUGUUCGGAAUCAUUGGGCGUAAAGCGGGUGUAGGCGGCUCUAUAAGUCAGGAGUGAAAGCCCCAGCUUAACUUGGGAAGUGCUUUUGAUACUGCAGAGCUUGAAAUGUGGGAGAGGGUAGUGGAAUUCCAGGUGUAGUGGUGAAAUACGUAGAUAUCUGGAGGAACACCGGUGGCGAAGGCGGCUACCUGGCCCAACAUUGACGCUGAGACCGAAAGCGUGGGGAUCAAACAGGAA
rnacentral:rRNA from 1 species